CCCAAUACUGCGCAUGUGCUUUCAAAGAUCAUGACAAUCACACGUGGAAGGCAAUUAGUCCAUCCAGCGGGAAAGCUAAGUUUAGUUCUUUGGCUACAGGACCAAAGACUUUGGAGCAGAUUCUCCAUAUGGUUUUUUUCAUAGUGUGUCCUCCACUGAUGGACAAUCUGCUCACCUAUUAAAUAAAAGAUUGUCCAGUUCCUCCAUGGACGUGAGAGGAAAGACAUUAUCCUCACUGUCCACCACCAGUACUGGAGCAUUAAGACGGCUGUUCCCUACAAGUGACUGGACCACUGAAGUCAGGUGAUUGAUCUUCAUGUCCAGCUCAUUUAGUGUCUCCAGAAUUGUCCUCUCAACAGCUGCAAUACAGUAGGUUUAUCUGAUGGGUUAUCACACCAAGCAUCCUCUUGCUCAUUUACAUGAGACAAGCUCACUGGAACAACUGGAGCUGAGAAAGGUAGUUAAGGGUAAAGUUAUUUGCAUUUGCUACCAUGACACUGCAUGAAAUGGUACACAAGGGCUUUUAAGUUAUACCUCAGUAAUGACUGAAUUAUUAUUAUUAU